CAAGUGCAUGUGGUGGAUGCCUUGGCGAUUACAGGCGAUGAAGGACCUAGUAGCUUGCGAUAAGCUGCGGGGAGCUAGCAAACGAGCUUUGAUCCGCAGAUUUCCGAAUGGGGAAACCCGGCCUUUUAGGUCAUUGCAUACUGAAUACAUAGGUAUGCAAAGCGAACGCGGCGAACUGAAACAUCUAAGUAGCUGCAGGAAAAGAAAUCAACCGAGAUUCCCCUAGUAGUGGCGAGCGAACGGGGAGUAGCCCUUAAGUUUUGUGCGGUUUAGUGGAACAGUCUGGAAAGUCUGGUCAUAGCGGGUGAUAGCCCCGUACACGAAAAACUGCAUGAGAUGAAAUCGAGUAAGGCGAGGCACGUGAAACCUUGUCUGAAUAUGGGG
rnacentral:rRNA from 1 species